rnacentral:rRNA from 1 species
AGAGUUUGAUCCUGGCUCAGGACGAACGCUGGCGGCGUGCUUAACACAUGCAAGUCGAACGCUGAACCGGUUUCGGCCGGGGAUGAGUGGCGAACGGGUGAGUAACACGUGGGUAAUCUGCCCUGCACUCUGGGAUAAGCCUGGGAAACUGGGUCUAAUACCGGAUAUGACCACUGGAGGCAUCUUUGGUGGUGGAAAGUUCCGGCGGUGCAGGAUGAACCCGCGGCCUAUCAGCUUGUUGGUGGGGUAAUGGCCUACCAAGGCGACGACGGGUAGCCGGCCUGAGAGGGUGACCGGCCACACUGGGACUGAGACACGGCCCAGACUCCUACGGGAGGCAGCAGUGGGGAAUAUUGCACAAUGGGCGCAAGCCUGAUGCAGCGACGCCGCGUGAGGGAUGACGGCCUUCGGGUUGUAAACCUCUUUCGCCAGGGACGAAGCGCAAGUGACGGUACCUGGAUAAGAAGCACCGGCUAACUACGUGCCAGCAGCCGCGGUAAUACGUAGGGUGCGAGCGUUGUCCGGAAUUAUUGGGCGUAAAGAGCUCGUAGGCGGUUUGUCGCGUCGGCCGUGAAAUCUCCACGCUUAACGUGGAGCGUGCGGUCGAUACGGGCAGACUUGAGUUCGGCAGGGGAGACUGGAAUUCCUGGUGUAGCGGUGAAAUGCGCAGAUAUCAGGAGGAACACCGGUGGCGAAGGCGGGUCUCUGGGCCGAUACUGACGCUGAGGAGCGAAAGCGUGGGGAGCGAACAGGAUUAGAUACCCUGGUAGUCCACGCU